AUGAUAAUCGCGAAGGUGCCUAAAGUUGGAAGAUUAUUUCCUAUACAAUUUUCCAUUCCUCCCGUUAUAUCUUUUGCUUGUACUUCUACAGCUAAUAAUUCUAAGCUUUGGUAUAAGCAUCUAGGACAUCCAAAUUAUGUUGUGUUGUCUCAUUUAUCAAAUUCUGGUUUAUUAGGAAGUAAAAAUCAAUUUUUCCCUGCUUCAUUUGAUUGUUCUACUUGUAAAUUAGGCAAAAGUAAAAUUCUUCCUUUUCCUAAUUUGGUAGUCGUGCUACAAAGUUUUUUGAUGUUGUUCAUAGUGAUGUUUGGGGUAUUUCACCAAUUAUUUCUCAUGCUCAGUUCAAGUACUUUGUGACAUUCAUCGAUGAUUAUAGUCGAUUUACGUGGGUGUAUUUUCUUCAUACCAAAUCUGAAGUAUUUUCCAUGUUCAAGAUAUUUUUGGCUUACAUUGAGACUCAAUUUUCUACUUGUAUCAAAUUAUUAAGAUCUGAUUCUCGUAUAGAAUUUAUGUCAAAUGAGUUCAAAAAUUUUUUGCUUGACAAAGGAAUUGUCUCACAACGCUUUGUCCAUAUACACCACAAAAAAAUGGGGUUGCUGAGCAUAAAAAUCGUCAUCUUUUAGAUAUCACUCGUACUUUAUUGAUUUUGUCCUCUGUCCCAUCUAAAUAUUGGAUUGAAGCUUUGUCUACUGCUUUCUAUUUAAUUUACAGACUGCCAUCUAAAGUGUUAAAUCUUGAGUCUCCAUAUUUUCGUCUUUAUCAUAAAAAUCCAAGCUAUGAUAAUUUUCAUACAUUUGGUUGUAUUUGUUUUAUGUAUCUUCCUCCUUCUCAGCGUAAUAAACUUUCUGUUCAGUAUACUAAAUGUGUUUUUAUGGAUUAUAUUACUUCACAGAAAGGAUUUCUCUAUUAUGAUCCAUGUUCUAAUAAAUUUCAUGUUUCUAUAAAUGUUGUUUUCUUUGAGAGUCCGAUUUUUUCCUACUCAUGUUGUCAUAUCCUGCUUCUCUUCUUCCUACUUUUGAAGAUUUGUCAUCUUGUUCUAAGAGAUUCAAACCCAGAUUUGUGUACGAAUGUCAGCGGCCAACUUUACCCCCUCCUGAUAUUGAUCCGCCACCUGAAACUGCACCAUAACUAGAAUUUGAGAAUUCUUCAAGGUCUGCUCCUCUUGAGCCCACUUGACGAUCUACGAGAGUAUCUCGUACUCCUAAUUGGUAUGGCUUUUCAUCUACUUUAUCUACCAUUUUUGUUCCAACUUAUUACUCAUAAGCUUCUAAGCAUGAAUGUUGGCAGAAAGUAAUCGAGGAAGAACUUUUGGCUCUCAUAGAAAAUGGCACAUGGGAUAUUAUUUCAUGUCCUUCAAACGUCCAUCCAAUUAGAUAUAAACGGGUUUAUUCUAUUAAAUUUUAUUCUAAUGGAACUCUUGAUCGGUACAAAGCUCGAUUGGCUGUUCUUGAUAGCAAGCAGGAGUAUGGUGUGAACUAUGAAGAGACUUUUGCACCAGUAGCAAAAAUGACGAUGGUGAGAACUAUUGUUGCCAUUGCUGCUUCACAAAACUGGACUCUUCAUCAAAUGGAUGUCAAAAAUACUUUUUUCAUGGUGAUGUCAAAGAGGAUAUUUAUAUGAAACUUCCACCAGGUUUGUUCUUAUUGCCUACAUCAGAUAUAUGCAAGUUGAAACGGUCUUUGUAUGGAUUAAAACAAGCUCCCAGAGCUUGGUUUAACAAAUUUCGGUCUACUUUUCUACAAUUCUCUUUUAAGCAGAGCAACUAUGACUCAUCUUUGUUUCUUUGGAAAGUAUCCACAGGUUGUGUUCUUCUUUUGGUAUAUGUCGAUGACAUUAUUAUUACAGGAACUGAUUCUUCACUAAUCACUAGACUGCAACAACAACUUAAGGAUUCUUUCCAUAUAAAAGAUCUUGGUACUCUUACAUAUUUCUUGGGUUUGGAAGUUCAUCGUGAUUCAUCCGGUGUGUUUCUAAAUCAACACAAAUAUACCCAAAAUUUGAUUUAUUUGGAAGGUCUUCAGGAUUCCUCCUCUGUGGAUACUCUAUUAUAAUUGAAUAUGAAGUAUCGUUGGGAGGAAGGCGAUCUUAUCUAACUAUUUUUCAACAAUUAGUUGGGAGCUUAAAUUACCUUACUAUUACCAGUCCUGAUAUCUCUUUUGCAGUUCAACAAGUUAGUCAGUUCAUGCAAGCUUCCCGUCAUCUUCAUUUGGUGGCUUUCCGUCACAUCAUUUGAUACCUCAGAGGAACAUCUAAUCGUGGAUUAUUCUUCCCUAGUGGUUCGCCUAUUCGUCUUAAUCCUUUUAGUGAUUCUGAUUGGGCGGGAUGUUCUGAUACUCAUCGUUCAGUUACUAGUUGGUGCAUGUUUCUUGGAGAGUCUUUGAUAUCUUAGAAGUUUAAGAAGCAAGACCGCGUGUCAAAAUCUUCAACAGAGGCUGAAUAUCGAGCAAUGUCUACUGCUUGCUCUGAGAUUGUGUGGAUUCGUGGACUACUUGAUGAGAUUGGAUUUCCUCAAUCUAAUCCUACUCCUCUCCGUGCUGACAAUACAAGUGCUAUUCAGAUUGCUACUAAUCCGGUUUAUCAUGAGAGGACCAAACACAUCGAAGUAGACUGUCAUUAUAUAUGAGAAAUUGUAGAUAAAGGUGUCAUUACUCUUCCGCACGUGUCCAGUGAUCUUGAAAUAGUUGAUGCAUUUACAAAAUCAAUGGCACAACAACGACAUCAGUUUCUCGUUGGCAAAUUGAUGCUUCUUGAUCUACCAGCAUUAAUUUGAGGGGGAUGUUAGCAUGAUGUAAAUAUUGUAUAUUAAUGUAAUCGUAUAUUGUUUUAUAUUAGUGUAAUUACAUAGAUUUGAUUUAGUCGUUAAAGAGAAUAAUAGUGAGUUUAGUAAGAGCAGAUUUGGUGGGAUAGAAUAGUAGAUUUAGAGGGAUAGAAAAACUGAUCUUUAGGGAUAGGAAGACGGAUCUUUAGGGAUGUAAUCAUUGAAUAUUUUCUAUUUAAUGACAUGACUCUCAAUAUUGAGAGGCAUUCAGCAGAAAAUUGACAGAAAUACCCUCAGGAGGUCUUUUCAAGAACCUCUCGAGUCAGUUUUUCAUCUACAAUGAAGCAUUGUGUGGUUCUUCAAGAUUUAGUGUCCUGCCAUGCCCCCACUUCAUCAAAGCAUAAAUCAAAUAGGAAAAAAUUCCUAGUUCUUCUUCUUUUGCUCGCAAUUGUAGUUGUAUUUGUUCCUAUGACCUUUGUGCUCCUGUGGAUAAGGUAUGGAAGAGGUAAAAGUGUUCCUCAGCAAGCUGACUUAUUGUCUACCAUAGCAAGAGAAAGGAUUUCAUACUAUGAACUUCUCUGAGCAACUAAUGCGCUUAGCGAGAGUAAUCUGAUUGGUUCUGGAAGUUUUGGCUCUGUUUACAAAAGCAUUCUCAGAAGUGGAACUGCCACUGCAGUUAAUGUUUUCAACCUGCAAUUGGAUGCGGCAUUCAGGAGUUUUGAUACGGAAUGUGAAGUGUUGUGUAGCCUUCUCCAUAGGAAUCCGUAAAUGUCAUUACUAGUUGCUCGUAAAUAAUUAAUGUCAUUCAACACUGGGUUGUAUUGCUCCAGAGUAUGGACUGGAUGGAUUAGGGUCAACAAAAUGCGAUGUCUAUAGCUACGGGAUCAUGUUGCUGGAAGCGUUUACUAGGAGAAAGCUUAAUGAGUUUGAGGGAGAUCUUAGCUUGAAGAAAUGGGUUAGUUAUUCACUUCCAGAGGAAGUCAUGGACGUCGUAGAUUCCAACUUGCUAACAUCAACUGGCAAUCGCUUACAGAAGGAGCUAGAUCUUGUGGCAUAAAUCAUGAAAGUUGCAUUAGAUUGUUGUGCUGAAUAUCCGGUAAGGACAAACAUGAAAGGUGUUGUAGGGAUGCUGCAGAAGAUCAAGAUUCUACUUCUUGCAUGCUAAGCAUGUUCUUGGAAUCUCUCAUCUCUUCAAGUCUCUUGUUUGUUGCAAAUGUCUGCUAAAUUAGUGGAAUAAUGUAAACAUUUCUUUCUUUGCUUUGUUUUAGCAUUUGAUUUCCUCU